CCAGACUCCUACGGGAGGCAGCAGUGGGGAAUAUUGCACAAUGGGGGAAACCCUGAUGCAGCAACGCCGCGUGAGUGACGAAGGUUUUCGGAUUGUAAAGCUCUGUUAGCAGGGAAGAGGAAGGACGGUACCUGCAGAGGAAGCCACGGCUAACUACGUGCCAGCAGCCGCGGUAAUACGUAGGGAGCAAGCGUUAUCCGGAUUUAUUGGGUGUAAAGGGUGCGUAGACGGGAAAUUAAGUUAGUUGUGAAAUCCCUCGGCUCAACUGAGGAACUGCAACUAAAACUGAUUUUCUUGAGUGCAGGAGAGGUAAGUGGAAUUCCUAGUGUAGCGGUGAAAUGCGUAGAUAUUAGGAGGAACACCAGUGGCGAAGGCGACUUACUGGACUGUAACUGACGUUGAGGCACGAAAGUGUGGGGAGCAAACAGGAUUAGAUACCCCUGUA
rnacentral:rRNA from 1 species